GCGGAGGCCGCCGAGGUCGGGGUACCGAGGGACGCAGGGAGGCCAGCGCUUCCUCCCGAGCAUUCGAGGGGGGCCUCGUUCUUUGGGAGAACACAUCCUCCGGAGCCCUCUUCUAACGUUUAUUAGUCGGUUUAGGGGAACUUGAAGGCCAAAUGUUUGGCCCACAGGACAAUAGUACGAGAGCCAGUCGGCUUAAGGGUUUAUUCCAGGUGAAGCGAGUGUCUUAGAAGAUGGGAAACACGUAGAUGGCGUGUUUUUGCGGAAGAACUAAAAUAUUUAAAUUUUAGGCAAGUGUCGUGGACUUCGUACUGCUAGGAAGCUCCGUAGUCACCGACGAGACCAGAAGUGGCAUGAUAAACAGUAUAAGAAAGCUCAUUUGGGCACAGCCCUGAAGGCCAACCCUUUUGGAGGUGCUUCUCAUGCAAAAGGAAUCGUGCUGGAAAAAGUAGGAGUUGAAGCCAAACAGCCAAAUUCUGCCAUUAGGAAGUGUGUCAGGGUCCAGCUGAUCAAGAAUGGCAAGAAAAUCACAGCCUUUGUACCCAACGACGGUUGCUUGAACUUUAUUGAGGAAAACGAUGAAGUUCUGGUUGCUGGAUUUGGUCGCAAAGGUCAUGCUGUUGGUGAUAUUCCUGGAGUCCGCUUUAAGGUUGUCAAAGUAGCCAAUGUGUC
rnacentral:sRNA from 1 species